rnacentral:tRNA from 1 species
GCCUCCAUAGCUCAGUAGGUUAGAGCGCGUUCUUGGUAAGAACGAGGUCAUCGGUUCGACUCCGAUUGGAGGCU